rnacentral:lncRNA from 1 species
ACAAGUUGACCUAGAGGCCCAAAACAAGGCCCCACCCAUUUGUGCUGUCCAAAUGGAGAGAGGGAGAACCUUAGGGUUCUCCCAUGUGCCCUACAUAUCCACCUUUUAGUUCAUUCUCUCCUUAGGGUUUUAAGAGUGAGGAGAAAGUGAGAGAAAGCAUAAAAUCUCUCCCUUCCUUAGGCAAGCUAAAAUUAGUAGUGUUGCUUGCACCACCUACUACUCUUGUGUGUCGUCAUCCUUCCUGUUGGGGUCUUUUUUCAUAGGAUGGCUCAUCCAGGUUUAUUGAUUCUUG